CCCCCCCCCCCGGCAAAGACUGUCGCCUGGACCAUUCGCAGGUCAACUCACCCUGCCGCCCAUUGAAUCAUGGUCGCAUGUCCGUCUCUCUGGCUGCCCGCUGGAUCGCAUCUGAGUCAACACCACUACCUCCUGCCACCGCAUGUGAUCCUCCUGGCCGGCAGCUGCCCUGUUCCCACAUGUUUAUGUGCUUGCUACUGUUGUGCUACUACGUUCGCUCCUGCCGCUAGUUGCUGCCUUUCUGCCACGUACUAGCUUCUGCCUGCUACUACGUGUUGUUGUUAGUCAACCCAUGGAUGAUGGAUCUAGUUCCGCCGUCUGGCUGCCUGAUUUGUUUUUUGCGUCUUGGUUCACAGCUUGAUCUCGUAAAAAAACUUCAUGUUUCUUCCGCUGCAACCACUGCUAGAUUUUCUAUCCAUCGCCUAGUAUGUGUUUUCUAGUUUUAUAUAAUUUCCGUUGUGUCCAUCAAAUCCGUCAAUAUUAUGUGUUUCUCAUGCCAUGCGAGUCCACAUACCAUUGUCCGGCAGCCUUUCUUCGGUUCUUAUCCUUUCUAUACAACUUGUGUGGCCUAUUUGCCCUUGUUGUUUCUUAUAGGAUUUUCUGGACUUCUUUUGCAUUGUCGAUCUACAUUCAUCGUGCCUUAACCGUCGAUCUUCUUUCGCCGUCGGUUGUCGUGGACUAUGAUUUUCUAUGCAAUGCCUUAUUCUCUUGAUGUGCCAUCUUCUUCGACAACCCAUCUUCUCUUGAUACUUAUCUUGUAUCUUCUAUUGGUGCGGUGUCUUCCUCUGAUAUGCCAUCUCUUCGUUAUUCCCUUUGGCGACUCGACAGGUUUUGAAGACUCCUCAUGCUACGACGACUCUCUAAAGACGUGGAUUUGGAUUGUCAAUUUUUUUUUACACUUCUUCAAAUGCAAUGCUAUUGCAUACGCUUUGCAUUUGAGGGGGGUGUUAAGGAGUAUUAGUANN
rnacentral:lncRNA from 1 species